CUGUCAACCCAACGCUGAAUAACACAUUGUACAUCAGCGUGUGCUUCAGGAGUUAACUCCAUGGCUGUUACGAACCAGUGCGGCAGAUUGUUUUCAUCUGCUUCCGGAUGUUUUUCCAAAUAUUCUUGAACGAUUUCCGCUUUCACUUCAAUAAAUUUGCCAAGGCGUCCGCUUCGGUAGUAAGAAAAGGAAAAAUAUGGUUCAAGUCCAGUAGAAACC
rnacentral:antisense_RNA from 1 species